rnacentral:lncRNA from 10 species
CUCAGAGUGAUUUUGAGGUUGGUGAAAAAUGUUGGAUGUGUAACCUUAGACUGUGGUCUAAAUGAACCACAGAAAUCAAGCUAAAGGGAAAGUAGAUAAAACCAGGAGAAAGAACUCUUCUGGAUUUCUGUUGCGACUGAUUACCAUAUAACGUCUCCUUUCCCCAUAAGAUUCCCAGCCCCUACUUAAUCACUGCACACUGAUCUCAGUACUGCUGUGAAGAGACUUUGCAGAGGUAAUGAAAGCCCUAAAUCAGUUGACCUUGAGACUCGGUGGGCCUGACCUAAUGAUGUGAGUCCUUUCAACGCAGAAUUUUCUCUGGCUGGCAGCAGAAGGGGAAUUAGAGAAAUCUGUAGCAUGAGAAGCCUUCCACAUGCCAUUACUGGCUUUGCCAGGGAGGUGGCCAUGGGGCAAGGACCUGAGAACAGCCUCUAGGAGCCUGUCCAUUCCUGGCCAAUAGCUGACAAGAAAACGGGAACUUCAGUCCUACAACUGUGAGGAACUGAGCUCUGCAGACCACCUGAGUGAGCUUGAAAGGACGUUCUUCCCCAGAGUCUCUAGAGAGAAGAGCCAUUUGACAAAUGCCAC